GAGCUGUGACGAAUACCGCGCCAAAAGUGGUGAUGGGUCUCAUCACACGCCGUCUGAUCUCCAUCGGACGAUAGCUGGCGCCCCCGAGCUC